rnacentral:rRNA from 1 species
CCUACGGGGGGCAGCAGUGAGGAAUAUUGGUCAAUGGGCGUAAGCCUGAACCAGCCAAGUCGCGUGAGGGAUGAAGGUUCUAUGGAUCGUAAACCUCUUUUAUAAGGGAAUAAAGUGCGGGACGUGUCCCGUUUUGUAUGUACCUUAUGAAUAAGGAUCGGAUAACUCCGUGCCAGCAGCCGCGGUAAUACGGAGGAUCCGAGUGUUAUCCGGAUUUAUUGGGUUUAAAGGGUGCGUAGGCGGCCUUUUAAGUCAGCGGGGAAAGUCUGUGGCUCAACCAUAGAAUUGCCGUUGAAACUGGGAGGCUUGAGUGUGUUUGAGGAAGGCGGAAUGCGUGGUGUAGGGGUGAAAUGCUUAGAUAUCAGGCAGAACCCCGAUUGCGAAGGCAGCCUGCCAAGCCAUGACUGACGCUGAUGCACGAAAGCGUGGGGAUCAAACAGGAUUAGAUACCCUUGUAGUC